rnacentral:rRNA from 1 species
AUUAGCGGCGAACGGGUGAGGAACACGUGAGAAAUCUGCCUUCAACACUGGGAUAACUCCGGGAAACCGGGGCUAAUACCGGAUAUGAAAUCUGCGGGCAUCCGCGGAUUUGGAAAGUUUUUCGGUUGAAGAUGAUCUCGCGGCCUAUCAGCUUGUUGGUGAGGUAAUGGCUCACCAAGGCGACGACGGGUAGCCGGCCUGAGAGGGCGACCGGCCACACUGGGACUGAGACACGGCCCAGACUCCUACGGGAGGCAGCAGUGGGGAAUAUUGGGCAAUGGAGGAAACUCUGACCCAGCGACGCCGCGUGCGGGAUGAAGGCCUUCGGGUUGUAAACCGCUUUCAGCAGGGAAGAAGCGAAAGUGACGGUACCUGCAGAAGAAGCACCGGCUAACUAUGUGCCAGCAGCCGCGGUAAUACAUAGGGUGCAAGCGUUGUCCGGAAUUAUUGGGCGUAAAGAGCUCGUAGGUGGUUCGUCACGUCGGAUGUGAAACUCUGGGGCUUAACCC